rnacentral:rRNA from 1 species
GGCUUAUUGAUAAUAAUUUUAGGUCAAUCUGCCCAAUGAUUUAAAUUUAAUGGCUGCAGUAUAACUAACUGUACAAAGGUAGCAUAAUCAAUUGUUUUUUAAUUGAAAACUGGGAUGAAAGAAUUAAUGAGAUAUAUUCUGUCUCAUAUAUAUGUUAUGAAAUUAAAUUUUUAGUAAGAAUGCUGAAAUUUAUUUAUGGGACGAUAAGACCCUAUAGAAUUUUAUAUUUAUUUUUAAAUUUUAUUUAAUUUAGGAAUAAAUAUUUAGUUGGGAGGACUGAUAAAUUUAAAUAACUUUACUUUAAAUAUAUACUUUAAUUAAAGAAUAAUUUUAGGUCUUUUAUUAAAAAUUAGAAGAAAAAAUUACCUUAGGGAUAACAGCGUAAUAUCUUUUUAAAGGCCAAAUUAAAAAAGAUGAUUGCGACCUCGAUGUUGAAUUAAGAUAAAUUUUAAAUGAAGAAGUUUAAUAAUUAAGUCUG